UUUACUUCCUCCAUGUAAACACUGCGCCGCUCGCUGCGCCUUUUACGCGCUUUUAAGACUCUUUAAAGUUUGUGCGGACCGAGUCCAGCUGUUAACAUCUGUCAGCAUCUGUCCACAGCUGUCCGCAGGCUCACUCUACCCUCCCGCGGCUUUAAUUAGUCGGCGCGUGAUGUUAACCGCGGCUGCUUAAUUACCCGGAGCAGCUCCGAGCGUCACUUUGGAGGAGUUCCCGGAGCACCGGGGCCUCCGCGGGAGAUUUACAGCCGAGAUCGAGCCCUGACACGCGGCCGUUAAUCACCAGCCCCGCUGCUCCCGGAGGGUGAGGGAGUGAGUGAGCCGCAGGACUCUGGCGCCUCACACUAGACGCGGACACUCCUGGUUCUGGGUCCGCCCACCGGCACAUCCAGCUGGACAGCCCCGACCGGACUCACACCUCUCACCCCCGGAGGACCUGCUGCCAAUGGCAACUUUCAUCUCCGCCCUCGUCUUCCUCUUCACCGUGAUGGGCGGGACUUCCCCUGCUGUCAGUCAGUCCAGCGCUCCAACAGAGCCCAUGUGCUACGACUGGGCGAGUCCAGCGUGGGGCGGUCUCUGUCGUGGAGGGCGAGGUCGGUUGGCUCUCCUGUCCUCUUUUCUCUCAUCC